rnacentral:tRNA from 1 species
CUCUUAUUAGCUCAAUGGUAGAGCAUAAUACUUCUAAUAUUUAGGUUCAAGUUCAAGUCUUGGAUAAGAGC